AACGAACGCUGGCGGCAGGCUUAACACAUGCAAGUCGAGCGAGACCUUCGGGUCUAGCGGCGGACGGGUGAGUAACGCGUGGGAACGUGCCCUUCUCUACGGAAUAGCCCCGGGAAACUGGGAGUAAUACCGUAUACGCCCUUUGGGGGAAAGAUUUAUCGGAGAAGGAUCGGCCCGCGUUGGAUUAGGUAGUUGGUGGGGUAAUGGCCCACCAAGCCGACGAUCCAUAGCUGGUUUGAGAGGAUGAUCAGCCACACUGGGACUGAGACACGGCCCAGACUCCUACGGGAGGCAGCAGUGGGGAAUCUUAGACAAUGGGGGCAACCCUGAUCUAGCCAUGCCGCGUGAGUGAUGAAGGCCUUAGGGUUGUAAAGCUCUUUCAGCUGGGAAGAUAAUGACGUACCAGCAGAAG
rnacentral:rRNA from 1 species